GCGGACGACCAGCCACACUGGAACUGAGACACGGUCCAGACACCUACGGGUGGCAGCAGUCGAGAAUUUUUCACAAUGGGCGCAAGCCUGAUGGAGCGACGCCGCGUGGGGGAUGAAUGGCUUCGGCCCGUAAACCCCUGUCAUUUGCGAUCAAACCUCGUUAUUUAAAAGAUGACGAGCUGAUAGUAGCGAAAGAGGAAGGGACGGCUAACUCUGUGCCAGCAGCCGCGGUAAUACAGAGGUCCCAAGCGUUGUUCGGAUUCACUGGGCGUAAAGGGUGCGUAGGUGGCGAGGUAAGUCGGAUGUGAAAGCUCGGAGCUCAACUCCGAAAUGGCAUUGGAAACUACCUUGCUUGAGGGUCGGAAGGGGGACUGGAAUACUUGGUGUAGCAGUGAAAUGCGUAGAUAUCAAGUGGAACACCAGUGGCGAAGGCGAGUCCCUGGACGACUCCUGACACUGAGGCACGAAAGCUAGGGGAGCAAACAGGAUUAGAUACCCUGGUAGUCCUAGCCGUAAACGGUGCAUGUUUGCUGUAAAAGGAAUCGACCCCUUUUGUGGCGUAGCCAACGCGUUAAACAUGCCGCCUGGGAAGUACGGUCGCAAGAUUAAAACUCAAAGAAAUUGACGGGGGCCUGCACAAGCGGUGGAGUAUGUGGCUCAAUUCGAUUCAACGCGAAGAACCUUACCUGGCCUUGACAUGUAUGUAGUAGAAGGGUGAAAGCCUGACGAGGUAGCAAUACCAGCAUACACAGGUGCUGCAUGGCUGUCGUCAGCUCGUGUCGUGAGAUGUUGGGUUAAGUCCCGCAACGAGCGCAACCCUUGUGUCCUGUUGCCACCCCGGCGUGAGCCGGGAGCACUCUGGACAGACUGCCUCGCUUAAACGAGGAGGAAGGUGGGGAUGACGUCAAGUCAGUAUGGCCCUUACGGCCAGGGCUGCACACGUACUACAAUGCUCGGCACAAAGGGAAGCAAGACCGUAAGGUGGCGCAAAUCCCCAAAAACCGAGCCCAGUUCAGAUCGUCGUCUGCAACUCGACGGCGUGAAGUUGGAAUCGCUAGUAAUGGCGCAUCAGCUACGGCGCCGUGAAUACGUUCCCAGGCCUUGUACACACCGCCCGUCACAUCAUGAAAGCCGUUUGUACCCGAAGUCGCCGUGUUAACUCGCAAGAGAGACAGGUGCCGAAGGUAUGGAUGGUGAUUGGGAUGAAGUCGUAACAAGGUA
rnacentral:rRNA from 1 species